AACGUCCUUAUCGGGGGUAGAGCAUCAGUUCCGUGAUCGUCAAGUGAGAACUGCUUUGCUGACACCCUGACUACAGCACUUAUUCACCAACAAUAUUCAUUUGUUCGGUGAAAUUUUUGGAAUA